AUGCGGAGGAGGUGGCCCGGGUCAGCGUCGGCAUCGUCUGGCGCGGGCCACGGGCCCGCUUCCAAGUGCGUCUGCGCACCGGCCACCCACGUUGGGUCCUUCAAGUGCCGCUUCCACCGCACCAACUCCCAGGGCCACGGGAGGUACCAAAAAAAACCAUGA
rnacentral:rRNA from 1 species